UACGGAGGGAGCUAGCGUUGUUCGGAAUUACUGGGCGUAAAGCGCACGUAGGCGGCUUUGUAAGUUAGAGGUGAAAGCCCGGAGCUCAACUCCGGAAUUGCCUUUAAGACUGCAUCGCUUGAAUCCAGGAGAGGUGAGUGGAAUUCCGAGUGUAGAGGUGAAAUUCGUAGAUAUUCGGAAGAACACCAGUGGCGAAGGCGGCUCACUGGCCCCGGUACUGGACGGCUGAGGCACGAAAGCGUGGGGAGCAAACAGG
rnacentral:rRNA from 1 species